rnacentral:rRNA from 1 species
AUGGGUUCCAUGGAAGCCAUCCUGUCUGCGCAGAUCGCCAGCCAAUUCUUCAGCACCAACAAGUUCAAUGCGAGCCCCGUACCGCAAAUGCAGAAGCAAUCUGAUGCCAGCAGAAGACAGGCGGAGAAGAAGGAGAUGAACAAUGAUUCUGCUGUCAAGAUUGCUGGCAAGCAACGGCAGCAGCAACUGAAGCCACGGUUCGCCCUGGAGCUGGAUGGGCUCAAUUGCUUCGAGACCCUUGUCCCUCUCUGA